rnacentral:rRNA from 1 species
UACGAAGGGGGCUAGCGUUGCUCGGAAUCACUGGGCGUAAAGCGCACGUAGGCGGAUUCUUAAGUCAGAGGUGAAAUCCUGGAGCUCAACUCCAGAACUGCCUUUGAUACUGGGGGCCUUGAGUUCGGGAGAGGUGAGUGGAACUGCGAGUGUAGAGGUGAAAUUCGUAGAUAUUCGCAAGAACACCAGUGGCGAAGGCGGCUCACUGGCCCGAUACUGACGCUGAGGUGCGAAAGCGUGGGGAGCAAACAGG